UACGUAGGGCGCAAGCGUUGUCCGGAAUUAUUGGGCGUAAAGAGCUCGUAGGCGGUCUGUCGCGUCGGCUGUGAAAACCUGGGGCUUAACUCCGGGCCUGCAGCCGAUACGGGCAGACUAGAGUUCGGCAGGGGAGACUGGAAUUCCUGGUGUAGCGGUGAAAUGCGCAGAUAUCAGGAGGAACACCGGUGGCGAAGGCGGGUCUCUGGGCCGAAACUGACGCUGAGGAGCGAAAGCGUGGGGAGCAAACAGG
rnacentral:rRNA from 1 species